UUAUGCUCAGGAUGAACGCUGGCGGCGUGCCUAACACAUGCAAGUCGAACGGGUUAAGAGAAAUUUCGGAUGGACCUUAACUUAGUGGCGGACGGGUGAGUAACGCGUGGAUAACCUGCCUCACACUGGGGGAUAGCAGCUGGAAACGGCUGGUAAUACCGCAUAAGACCACGGUGCCGCAUGGCGCUGGGGUAAAAGAUUUAUCGGUGUGAGAUGGAUCCGCGUCUGAUUAGCCAGUUGGCGGGUAACGGCCCACCAAAGCGACGAUCAGUAGCCGGCCUGAGAGGGUGAACGGCCACAUUGGGACUGAGACACGGCCCAAACUCCUACGGGAGGCAGCAGUGGGGAACAUUGCACAAUGGGCGCAAGCCUGAUGCAGCAAAACCGCCGCGUGAGUGAAGAAGUAUUUCGGUAUGUAAAGCUCUAUCGGCAGGGAAGAAAGGCCCGAAAGGGAAAUGACGGUACCUGACUAAGAAGCCCCGGCUAACUACGUGCCAGCAGCCGC
rnacentral:rRNA from 1 species